rnacentral:misc_RNA from 1 species
GAUGAAGAACGUAGCGAAAUGCGAUAAGUAAUGUGAAUUGCAGAAUUCAGUGAAUCAUCGAAUCUUUGAACGCACAUUGCGCCCGCCAGUAUUCUGGCGGGCAUGCCUGUUCGAGCGUCAUUUCAACCAUCAAGCCCCCGGCUUGUGUUGGGGACCUGCGGCUGCCGCAGGCCCUGAAAACCAGUGGCGGGCUCGCUAGACACUCCGAGCGUAGUAAUACAUCUCGCUCAGGGCGUGCUGCGGGUUCCGGCCGUUAAAAGCCUUAUUUACCCAAGGUUGACCUCGGAUCAGGUAGGAAGACCCGCUGAACUUAAGCAUAUCAAUAAGCGGAGGA